rnacentral:rRNA from 1 species
CCUACGGGCGGCAGCAGUGGGGAAUAUUGGACAAUGGGCGAAAGCCUGAUCCAGCCAUGCCGCGUGUGUGAAGAAGGCCUUCGGGUUGUAAAGCACUUUCAGUGGGGAAGAAAGCCUUGGGGCUAAUACCCUCGAGGAAGGACAUCACCCACAGAAGAAGCACCGGCUAACUCCGUGCCAGCAGCCGCGGUAAUACGGAGGGGCGAGCGUUAAUCGGAAUUACUGGGCGUAAAGCGCGCGUAGGCGGUCUGAUAAGCCGGUUGUGAAAGCCCCGGGCUCAACCUGGGAACGGCAUCCGGAAAUGUCAGGCUAGAGUGCAGGAGAGGAAGGUAGAAUUCCCGGUGUAGCGGUGAAAUGCGUAGAGAUCGGGAGGAAUACCAGUGGCGAAGGCGGCCUUCUGGACUGACACUGACGCUGAGGUGCGAAAGCGUGGGUAGCAAACAGGAUUAGAUACCCCUGUAGUC